CAAAGGAGCAAUCCGCUGAAAGAUGGGCUCGCGUCCGAUUAGGUAGUUGGCGGGGUAACGGCCCACCAAGCCGACGAUCGGUAGCCGGACUGAGAGGUUGAACGGCCACAUUGGGACUGAGACACGGCCCAGACUCCUACGGGAGGCAGCAGUGAGGGAUAUUGGUCAAUGGGGGAAACCCUGAACCAGCAACGCCGCGUGAGGGAAGACGGUUUUCGGAUUGUAAACCUCUGUCCUCUGUGAAGAUGAUGACGGUAGCAGAGGAGGAAGCUCCGGCUAACUACGUGCCAGCAGCCGCGGUAAUACGUAGGGAGCAAGCGUUGUCCGGAUUUACUGGGUGUAAAGGGUGCGUAGGCGGCUUUGCAAGUCAGAAGUGAAAUCUAUGGGCUUAACCCAUAAACUGCUUUUGAAACUGCAGGGCUUGAGUGAAGUAGAGGUAGGCGGAAUUCCCGGUGUAGCGGUGAAAUGCGUAGAGAUCGGGAGGAACACCAGUGGCGAAGGCGGCCUACUGGGCUUUAACUGACGCUGAGGCACGAAAGCGUGGGUAGCAAACAGGAUUGGAUACCCUGGUAGUCCACGCUGUAAACGAUGAUUACUAGGUGUGGGUGGACUGACCCCAUCC
rnacentral:rRNA from 1 species